GAAGGCACAUCUCUGGACCGUAACUGACGCUGAGGAGCGAAAGCUUGGGGAGCGAACAGGAUUAGAUACCCUGGUAGUCCACGCCGUAAACGGUGGGUGCUAGUUGUGGGCCACAUUCCACGUGGUCUGUGACGAAGUUAACACAUUAAGCACCCCGCCUGGGGAGUACGGUCGCAAGACUAAAACUCAAAGGAAUUGACGGGAGCCCGCACAAGCGGCGGAGCAUGCGGAUUAAUUCGAUGCAACGCGAAGAACCUUACCAAGACUUGACAUAUAGAGGAAAAGCGUAGAAAUACGCUCCCCGCAAGGUCUCUAUACAGGUGGUGCAUGGUNGUCGUCAGCUCGUGUCGUGAGAUGUUGGGUUAAGUCCCGCAACGAGCGCAACCCUCGUCCUAUGUUGCCAGCACGUAAUGGUGGGAACUCAUGGGAGACUGCCGGGGUCAACUCGGAGGAAGGUGGGGAUGACGUCAAAUCAUCAUGCCCCUUAUGUCUUGGGCUUCACGCAUGCUACAAUGGCCGAUACAAAGGGCUGCAAUACCGCAAGGUGGAGCGAAUCCCAUAAAGUCGGUCUCAGUUCGGAUUGGGGUCUGCAACUCGACCCCAUGAAGUCGGAGUCGCUAGUAAUCGUAGAUCAGCAACGCUACGGUGAAUACGUUCCCGGGCCUUGUACACACCGCCCGUCAAGUCACGAAAGUCGGUAACACCCGAAGCCGGUGG
rnacentral:rRNA from 1 species